UACGUAGGGUGCGAGCGUUAAUCGGAAUUACUGGGCGUAAAGCGUGCGCAGGCGGUUCGUUAAGUCAGAUGUGAAAGCCCCGGGCUCAACCCCGGAACUGCAUUCGAUACUGGCGGGCUAGAGACCGGAAGAGGUGGGUGGAAUACCCAGUGUAGAGGUGAAAUUCGUAGAUAUUGGGUGGAACACCGGUGGCGAAGGCGGCUCACUGGUCCGGUUCUGACGCUGAGGCGCGAAAGCUAGGGGAGCAAACAGG
rnacentral:rRNA from 1 species